rnacentral:lncRNA from 1 species
GGGGGUCACUGGACACAUGUGUCACAAUUAACAAAGGGGAACACAUUCUCCAAAUGUGUUCUGUUUCCCCAGGAAGCCAGCUGGAAAUGCAACAAAAUGCCUCUCCCUCUCCUUUAGCAAAACACAAGUCAGGGCAAUGCAAGAUUUGAUUGGGACUGCUUUACUUCGUUAACUAUUACAGCAGCAGUAGGGCUGACUGGAGCCAUUGUACAGUGUCGGGAACAUACCAGCACACCGAGAAUAGCAUCAUGUCAUAAGGACCCAGAGCAGGUGGACCCUGCUGUGAUGCACAAAGAGGACCAUGCAAGAUAUGAUAAAGAUCUAUGUCACUGAAUUUUGGUUCUGUAUUUGUAUCUCAGCUUCCCGGAAAUAAAAAAGAAUUCUAACAUUCAUACUUUCAGUAUUUUAUGUGAGAGGUUUUGUUGUCAAAAUCAAGUCUGAGAGCAAUGUUUAUUGGGGCCUUUAAU